rnacentral:rRNA from 1 species
CGGCAACGGAUAUCUCGGCUCUCGCAUCGGUGAAGAACGUAGCGAAAUGCGAUACUUGGUGUGAAUUGCAGAAUCCCGUGAACCAUCGAGUCUUUGAACGCAAGUUGCGCCCGAAGCCAUCAGGCCGAGGGCACGCCUGCCUGGGCGUCACACGCCGUUGCCCCC